UACGUAGGGUGCGAGCGUUGUCCGGAUUUAUUGGGCGUAAAGAGCUCGUAGGCGGUUUGUCGCGUCGGCCGUGAAAUCUCCACGCUUAACGUGGAGCGUGCGGUCGAUACGGGCAGACUUGAGUUCGGUAGGGGAGACUGGAAUUCCUGGUGUAGCGGUGAAAUGCGCAGAUAUCAGGAGGAACACCGGUGGCGAAGGCGGGUCUCUGGGCCGAUACUGACGCUGAUGUGCGAAAGCGUGGGGAUCAAACAGG
rnacentral:rRNA from 1 species